rnacentral:lncRNA from 1 species
GAUGACACUUUAGUGAGAGAGAAUUUUAAAAAACAAACUAUUUAAUUCACAUGAGACAGUGUUAUUGGGACACAUGGGAUGGCCUAAGUCAAGCUGUUUGCAUGACUCCCCAAAGGUUAUCAAGUGUAGACUCCCAAAGAGCAUCUUAGAGGCCCAGUUGUCAUUAGCCCCCUCCCGAUGGCCUGGAAAGCUGAGAAGCAGCUGUGCUCUUUUUGCUUUGGCAGCAGAGUUAUGCCUGGAGCUGCACACACAGGUGACCCCUUGAGCAUGUGCUGAAGGAAUUAAGGUGCUCUGCUGUGAUUGGCAGGUGGCCAAGUCUCUAGCAGGGGAGGAGGAAGCAGAAAGAUUAGGUGAUCAGUUACACUUAUCUGAAAUACUCAUAAGCAUCCGGGAGAAAGGGGAGCAUUAAUACGAUAUGGAAGGUAUAAAUGGGAGUGAGUGAAGAGUUCAGUGUUUAGAGGGAGGUUUAGGUUGAAUAUUUGCGAUGGUUAAAUUAUGUAGGUUCUUGAAUUUUGCCCUGUCUUCUUCCUUUUUCUUAGCAGCUGAGAGAAAAUGGUGGGUACAGAGUAGGAGUGAAACGAAGAAUGUCUUUCUGGUAAAACAAACAAGAGAUUGUGGUUCCUAUGCUGAACUGAAACUCCUUUCCUUCACAAGGAUGUCACGUGGGAAGCCUGCAAAAUGCAACCUGAACCCAGGGUGAAGCAGAGGAUCUUCACUAAAAUGAGAGAAUGAAGCCAAAUGCACCAAAUGAAUCAAAAUGAGAGAAGUUCCCACCUGGACUCUGCAUGGUUAAAAGGAAAUCUGAUCCAAAAAGCAAAAACCUAUUCAACUCAACAUCUUUGUCUUCCUGAUGAGUAAGAACUCCUCUAUCAGUAAAAGCAUUGAUCGUUUGCUAUUUAAAUUGGAAAUAUUUUUAUCCCUUUUGUUGUUGGCUUUUAGUUCUGUUUAUUUUUUUUUUUUUUUUACUUAUUAAAGGAUUUUAUUUUUCUAUAAUAAGCUCUAACUAGUCUUGGCCUUUAUAGUUUCCACCUUUGCUUUUAUACAUAAAGAAGCAUUUGACGUCCAAUAUUGUAAGUUACUGAUCUAUAUUUCUUCUUAUUUUUUAGCUUGAAUCCAUUCUAUUUUUAAGCAUGACAUGCAAUAAUAACCUCAUUUUAUUUCAUUUUUCCAAGCUACCAAUCUCCCCAGGACCACUUGUUUUAUUCUUUCUUUCAAUAAUUUGAAAUGUAUCUUUAUCACAUGCUAAAUAUUUUUUAAACUUGGGUGUAGCAGAUUGUAUUACUAUGAUCUUGCCAAAUAUUCCAGAGGCCUUCUCUGUGGUAGUUCUCCUGCAAGAGGAUAAAACAUGUCCUGCUGAACUCAGGUGUGGCCAUAUAGCUUGUGUUAGCCAAUGGAAUUCAAGCAGGAAGGACAUAUGUCACUUAUGACCAGAAGCGUUAAGAGCCAGUGAGUGGUUUUCCAUGUUUCUUUUUCCUCUGUAACAAUACCACGAAUGUUUCCAAUAGAUGCUGCUCCAUUAGCCUAGGUCCCAGCAGGAAGGCAACGUGGAAGUGAGUUCAGCUGACCCAUGACAAAUAUAUAGCUUGGACAAAAUAUAGACCUUUGUUCCAGCAAACUGCUGAGAUUCGAGAGACUUUGUUCUCACAGCAUAACCUAGACUAUCCUGAUAAGGAUGUGUUUCUCGCCUCUCUCUUAUGUCUACUCUUGUUCUAGAAACACAGAGAUGAUUCUUAAAUGCUACACCUUACCCACCUAAGACUAAAAUAUGCAUAACCCCUAAUCUGAAAGUCUUUGGAAAACAAAUCAAAAAAUAAAUAUACUCAAAUCAUUCCUUGCAAGGGUUUCCAUGUUUGCUAUUUUCUUCCUACAUUCAGCCUUCCAGAAUGCAGAGUGGCAACCUGUAGGGAUUGAAAAGGAAGGAAGUACUUGGGAGGAAGUGGCAUUAAAACUGUCUUGAACACAUUCCAUUUAAGGAUUUUAGUGUGAUCCUUUUUCCACUAAGACAAGAGUCCUGGUAAUAGAAUGGCUUCUCAGGCUGUUGCCUGCAUCACCAUUACAACUAUGCCAUUCUCUCUCUGUCACUUCCUUGGUUUGGGCCUGACUCGGAGCUCCACGUCAAGUGACAAUAUUUGGUCACCGGAAGUGGUGUGGGAAAGUGAAGAAUGGAAUUUACCUAGGGAAAUGCUGAAAGGUAGUGAAGCAGGAAGCCAGUAAAAAAAAGUGCCAUAAUCCCAUUUCUUUCGCCUGUCAAUGCUGUUUAUUUCUCAUGCAUGCGAGCAUGGCUGGGCAGCCUGCUGCACCACAGUCCUUCUGUAAGGGAAAGCUCUCAAAGGUGGCAUUGUGAUUUAAAUGACACUGGGUCAGAAACGAUUAAAUGCAAAAGCCAGGAGGGAUUUUCAGAGGAAGCAUCUUCUAAAUGCUGUGCCUCCAUCUGGAGGUGACUUGUCCAGCCCCAAAAGGGCAGAGUGUGACUCCCUGCAACAGCAACUCCGAGACACGGCACUGAAACCCUGGAGAAGGUUCAGGGUUGCAUCUUCCCAACUUUGAAACUAUCCUCAUGGCCUUCCACUUAGCCAGUAAUAAGAAUGGAUGGAUUCUCAUUAGAAUCACAUUUGUAUGGACAAGACCUAAUUCUGCUCCUCUGCCCAAGUUUUGACCUUGAGCAGCAGCCAACAUUUGACUCGCUCUUGAGCUGGAAGCCAUAGCAAACUGUACUGUUUCCAACAGCAUUUCUACUCCAACUCCCCUCCACAACCACCUCCAUGGCUCAGCAGAGAUUCGCAGACAUAUAAAUCAGAGUUGGCUUAUUUUGCAGGGGGAUGGAGAACUGGACGUCGCCCAGAGAAGUUACACCCAGAACAAUUAGUCAUCAGCAACAAACAUUCCAUACAGCACAUCACAGAAGCAAGAACCUCCAAAGUCCAGUGCAGUUAAGAACAGAAGCAGCUGGAAAAAUAGAAAAAGUUGGUAAAGAGUCUACCACAAGGCCAAACUUUGAAGAGUGAAAUGAAGAAACUGAAAAUUCUGUGUAGCUGUCAUUGGAAGCCCUACUGUGAAAAAAGGUCACUCAAAAAUGAUAUUGGAUACAAGAAGAGAGCACCAGUGAAUCAGCUGAAGGAAAGCAGAAAAACACAAAAACUGGACCAAACCAAAGAUAUUUACAUCACGUCCUUAAUGGGAAGAAAUCCACUGCACAUGGUAGUGGUUAGAGAUUACUGUCACACUGAAGAUACUGGUGAGUAAACUUGAUAUGGUUCUCGCUCCAUAGCUUAGGUUCAAUCAUUCUGAGCUGAUAAAAAUAUUUUCUCUUCAUAAAUUCUCAAAUUAAGGCAUCCUUUCGGGCUUUUUCCAGACAAGUAUCUCAAUUAGGUGGACCCCACUGCCAAGUGAAGGCAGAAUUCACGUGCCCAGACUGGACAGCCCAGUUAAGCAGCAGUCCUUACAGAAUUGCAUCAUAACAAGGCUUAGGCCUGUCUGAGCAUGCUACAAGUUACACUUCACACCUAUAACCUCCUUUCAUCCUCACAAUGCCUUUGUAAGGCAAGUAGGGUAGAUAUUUUACAGAUAAGGAAACUGAGGCACAGUAAAGUCAGAGUUACAAAGCUGGCAAAUGACAAUGUUUUAUCAUGGAAACUGACUCUUGGGCCUUUUCUUCUAGCCCCUGCUGCCCUACUGGAAGACUUUUCCAGAAAGAUGCUGUGAAUACUUAUUGCUCAAGUCCACAAAGAAAGACCUGUCUUAAACACUUUGGAGGAUAGUUUCCUUGAUUCUCUGGCAUCUGACCUGAGUCCAGAGGUGGUCCCUCCACAGUCAAAUCUAAAUUGUGAGAUCUUACUGGAUCCUUGCCAUGGAUGAUGGAUCACCUGACCAUUGGGUGGUCAUCUGCCCCAAUUUAACCCAUAUCACAAAUAAAAAAAAAUACUGAGAAAUAGAGCAUCAUUGGAGCCAGGGGCAACUCUCUCAAGCAAUUCUUCUUGAAUGCAAAUGAGAUACUCCAGUAUCCAAUUAAUAUUUUUAAAUUAAAGUUAUUUUAUUUAUUUAUUUUUGCUUAACUAACUAAUCACUUUCUGCUACUUGCAACCAAAUAACUGUAACUGAUACAAUCCAAUUUUCUGUCAAUCCCACUCUGAGUCUUGAACUUGCCGUUUCGUAUGAUACUUCUUGCCUUGCUUUUAUCCAAAUGCAGUUCUCUUUUCAUUGAUCAUUUUCUCUGCUGCUUUCUUCCCUCAAUUAACAAUGGCAAAGUUGGAGUACUUUAAUCUUGACCACAUUUUCCUUGGACUCACCAGCUAUUGACCUUCUCAGAUGACCAUGCAACAAUUAGAUGCUGGAGAGAAAAACCACACUUAGGUACUUAAGAGGGAUGAAUGGACUGGCCUAAAGCCAAAGGGAUGGUGAAAUUGCUAUUAAAUUAAUAAACUUCUCAAAUUGCCUCAGUUCCUCUGAGCACUAAGAAGGUACUAAAAGUCUGCCUCAAGCC